CCUUGAGAAAAUUAGAGUGUUUCAGGCAGGCUUGCGCCGGAAUACAUUAGCAUGGAAUAAUAGAAUAGGACUUUAGUCUCCUUUGUUGGUUUGAGGGACUGGAGUAAUGAUUAAUAGGGACAGUUGGGGGCAUUAGUAUUUAAUUGUCAGAGGUGAAAUUCUCGGAUUUGUUAAAGACUAACUUAUGCGAAAGCAUUUGCCAAGGAUGUUUUCAUUAAUCAAGAACGAAAGUUAGGGGAUCAAAGACGAUCAGAUACCGUCGUAGUCUUAACCAUAAACUAUGCCGACUAGGGAUCGGAGGCGCGCUUUAUCCGCCUUCGGCGCCUUACGGGAAAC
rnacentral:rRNA from 2 species